UACAGAGGUCUCAAGCGUUGUUCGGAUUCAUUGGGCGUAAAGGGUGUGUAGGUGGCGCGGUAAGUCGGGUGUGAAAUUUCGGAGCUUAACUCCGAAACUGCAUUCGAUACUGGCGUGCUUGAGGACUGGAGAGGAGACUGGAAUUUACGGUGUAGCGGUGAAAUGCGUAGAUAUCGUAAGGAAGACCAGUGGCGAAGGCGGGUCUCUGGACAGUUCCUGACGCUGAGGCACGAAAGUCUGGGGAGCAAACGGG
rnacentral:rRNA from 1 species